UAGAAUUGCUACUCUAUUGGCCUGCUGACC
rnacentral:piRNA from 1 species